GACGAACGCUGGCGGCGUGCUUAACACAUGCAAGUCGAGCGGUAAGGCCCCUUCGGGGGUACACGAGCGGCGAACGGGUGAGUAACACGUGAGCAAUCUGCCCAUCACAUCGGGAUAACUCCGGGAAACCGAAGCUAAUACCGAAUACGACCACCUCCGGCAUCGGAUGGUGGUGGAAAGUUCCGGCGGUGAUGGAUGAGCUCGCGGCCUAUCAGCUUGUUGGUGGGGUAACGGCCCACCAAGGCUUCGACGGGUAGCCGGCCUGAGAGGGUGACCGGCCACACGGGGACUGAGACACGGCCCAGACUCCUACGGGGGGCAGCAGUGGGGAAUAUUGGACAAUGGGCGAAAGCCUGAUCCAGCAACGCCGCGGGGGGGAUGACGGCCUUCGGGUUGUAAACCUCUUUCAGCGGGGACGAAGCGAAAGUGACGGUACCUGCAGAAGAAGCCCCGGCCAACUACGU
rnacentral:rRNA from 1 species